rnacentral:tRNA from 1 species
GGUUUGUGGCUCAGUGGUAGAGCUCUUACCUAGCAUGUGUGAGGCACUGGGUUCAAUCAUCAGCACCA